AUGGGGAAGUGGAAUUUUUACACGAGUUA
rnacentral:piRNA from 1 species